rnacentral:rRNA from 1 species
UACGAAGGGGGCUAGCGUUGUUCGGAAUUACUGGGCGUAAAGGGCGCGUAGGCGGUGAAGCAAGUCAGGCGUGAAAGGCCCGGGCUCAACCCGGGAAUUGCGUUUGAUACUGCUUCGCUCGAGUCCGGGAGAGGAUGGCGGAAUUCCCAGUGUAGAGGUGAAAUUCGUAGAUAUUGGGAAGAACACCGGUGGCGAAGGCGGCCAUCUGGACCGGUACUGACGCUAAGGCGCGAAAGCGUGGGGAGCAAACAGG